AGUCCGCUGGUCCCGAGCACGAGCUGUGAGGGGAUUCACUUGUGUGCGGAACUCCUCGGAACCAUGGCGUCCCUUUCCCUUGCACCUGUUAACAUCUUUAAGGCAGGAGCUGAUGAAGAGAGAGCAGAGACAGCUCGUCUGACUUCUUUUAUUGGUGCCAUCGCCAUUGGAGACUUGGUAAAGAGCACCUUGGGACCCAAAGGCAUGGACAAAAUUCUUCUAAGCAGUGGACGAGAUGCCUCUCUUAUGGUAACUAAUGAUGGUGCCACUAUUCUAAAAAACAUUGGUGUUGACAAUCCAGCAGCUAAAGUUUUAGUUGAUAUGUCAAGGGUUCAAGAUGAUGAAGUUGGUGAUGGCACUACCUCUGUUACCGUUUUAGCAGCAGAAUUAUUAAGGGAAGCAGAAUCUUUAAUUGCAAAAAAGAUUCAUCCACAGACCAUCAUAGCGGGUUGGAGAGAAGCCACGAAGGCUGCAAGAGAGGCGCUGUUGAGUUCUGCAGUUGAUCAUGGGUUUGUAUAGCAAAGUACUACUGUUCUAAACAUUUAGUGUUCUUUCAUAACAUGCUUAAUGCAAGAAAUCUAUAGGACACUGAAAAGCAUACACAAAGAUCAUCUUGCUGCCUCACCCCACUCCAACAGCCAAACCUACAUCAGCCUCCAGAGAUAGCCACUAAAGUUAAGUUU
rnacentral:sRNA from 1 species